GACGGGCUGUGGGUGAAGCUCUGCGACACGUCGCAGUCGUCCAGCACCGUCAUGUCCUGCAGCGUGGUCAGAGUCGCUCCCCACGUCUUUUUCACCUGAAGGAAACACAUUUAAAGGGACGCCAGGCGGGUCUGAAGCUGAGUGAGGCGCAGCGACAGCUCAGCCUGGACCUGCGGCUGGGAGGCGAUCUGGGUCGUCUGACAGGAAGCGAAACGUCACCAAUACAAGAAGAAAAAACUGCAAAUCCUCAGCGCUGCGGUGGGCAGAAGGCAGUGGGGUAGAGGCCCAGCAGACGCUGCCUGUCGCGGGCCGGGUCCAGGUUCUCCACAGCCCCCUCCAGCACCUCCAGGCCCGCUCGCCUGGAGGCUUCAAGGCUCAGUUCGGCGGAUAGCUAAAGUGCAGCGACUGCCAGCAGCUCUGAGCCCAGGAUCUCCAUCACAUCCAGCGCCGCCCGGCGGACAGACGCCCAGCAGAGCCGGCCGUCCCGGUGGCCAUGGCGACGCAGGCGAGCCGCGCCCACCGGGAACGGGAUUCAUCCGUCCUGGGAUCCAAGACGGUUUAGUAAAUGUCCCUUUUUUGCAAUGGCCCAAAUACGAUGUCGUACAGUCACACUUCUCUGACGGCACUCACCCUUUUCAGGAGCCGAGCCGAAUCCUCGCUGAUGUGCGUCAGACGGCUGAUGACGUUGUUCAGCGCUCUGCGAGCUUCUCCAGGUUCCUGGAAUACUCUGUUUCGAUCUCGGCCUUCUUCCUGAAGAAGUCCUGCAGGUCCUGAAGCAGCUGCACCCGCAUCUCCGUCUGCUGCUCCAGGCAGCGCUGCUGCUCCGCCAACUGGGCCCGCACAUCUGCAGCACAACCCAAAACACAACCCACAGCGGACUUGAAGCUGAACUGUUGCGCUGCAGAGAGGAAACUUUCGGGGCGUCAGAUUUCCUCUGGGAUGAAUCACCGCAGCAGAGCUUGCUCAAUGCUGGCAGCAGGCCUGUUGAGCUUCAGUCAGUCCUGAGGAAAUGAAACCAAAUGAAAGACCAACCGUCUCUCAGGUUCUCACACUGCCAUGUGUCAGGAAACUCCAGGGCUGUGCAGAGACCUUUGGAGGGACAAGGGCUCAAAGUCAAAAAACAACAAGAUCUUAAAACAAUGCAAAACAACAUAGCAACGACCCAUAUUAAUCUGUGUCAGCUCCCACUUUCUGAGAGACUUCAAAACAAUUUGCUGCUGCCCGCCUCACCAUAUACACCAUACUGGACUCAACCCCUUGGAUACAAAUUGGCUGUAAUUAUCCCAGGAUGCAGAGCUGCUGUCCACAGAAAAAUGUAGUUGUAGUUAUGAUCUCAUCUAUUACAUGCAGUUCUAGGUCAAAGAACAUCGGAGGUUAUGAAUGCGUGUUUCAAGACAUCAGUUCAUAUCCGAAUAGCACUUCAAAUUUCACCAUUGGCUUUGAUAAGGACUUUCAGGAUGGCAGAAAUGUUUGUUAGUAUGUUUCUCCCUCUUGGCUUUGGCCUUGGAUACUUAGUGACAACUGGGAUGAGAAAACUUUUCGACAAACUAAUCCAUGGAAAAGACUUGGAAGAUAAUACUGCUGAGGAAGAGAGCACUUCGUAUGAAUAUGACGCAUUUGACGCAUUCCUCUUUAACCUGUCCCCAGUAGAGAAGCAAACCUCCCUGGUUUUGCUUCUCAGAUGACAAUGAAUUUGAUCCCUGUUUUUUUAACCCGUCCCCAGUCUCCAACUAUGAUGCAUUCGAUUCCUUUCUUUUUGAACCGUCCCUUGUUGAGAAACAAACCUCCCCACUUGGGGAGGUUUGCUUCUCAGAAUAUGAUGUAUUUGAUUCUUAUCUUUUUGAACCAUCCCCAGUGGAAAACAAUGUUUUUGACAACAAUGUCUUUGAUAGUUAUUUUUUUGAUCUGUCCUCUGAGGUUCUCCCACAAGACCCAACGUCCCCGGCUGGGGACGUUGGGUCUGUGGUCGAGGAAGUGGUCACUUCCAAAGAAGAAAGCAAGAAUCUUCCAUGGAUGGAUGUCAAAAUUUUACAGAAACCGUUGUAGAGGGAGGAGGAACAAUCGUUAUAGAGGAAGAAAAUAAAUUUAAUCUCAUAGACAAAACAAAUAUUAGGGAAAAUACAAAUAAGGAUAUACGAUGGGAGCAAUUGUUGUACAUUUUCUUUGCACUUUGCGUUCUUGUUUUUAUUUGUUUUGUUGAUUUUUACAUGUUUGCAUUUUUUGUCAUUUCUGUUUGUGUAUUUUCUAUUGUAUCAUCAACAUCAUGGGAAGCUGAGGUUUAAAUUUAAUUUCUUUUAUUUGUUUCAGGUUCUUUGUCAGGAUUCCUCCAUCAGUCCAAAAAGAUUUUGUGCAAAUUUGAUAAUAAAUUGGCAAUGGAAGAAAAUGUUAAUUUGAUUAUCAUAACAAUGAUAAUAAAUA